UAUUGGACAAUGGGCGCAAGCCUGAUCCAGCCAUGCCGCGUGAGUGAUGAAGGCCUUAGGGUNGUAAAGCUCUUUCACCGAUGAANNUCNNNANGGUAGUCGGAGAAGAAGCCCCGGCUAACUUCGUGCCNNNANCCGCGGUAAUACGAAGGGGGCUAGCGUUGUUCGGAAUUACUGGGCGUAAAGCGCACGUAGGCGGAUAUUUAAGUCAGGGGUGAAAUCCCAGAGCUCAACUCUGGAACUGCCUUUGAUACUGGGUAUCUUGAGUAUGGAAGAGGUAAGUGGAAUUGCGAGUGUAGAGGUGAAAUUCGUAGAUAUUCGCAGGAACACCAGUGGCGAAGGCGGCUUACUGGUCCAUUACUGACGCUGAGGUGCGAAAGCGUGGGGAGCAAACAGG
rnacentral:rRNA from 1 species